CGUCUGCCUGGGUGUCACA
rnacentral:siRNA from 1 species